rnacentral:rRNA from 1 species
AUUGAACGCUGGCGGCAUGCCUUACACAUGCAAGUCGAACGGCAGCACGGGUGCUUGCCCCUGGUGGCGAGUGGCGAACGGGUGAGUAAUACAUCGGAACAUGUCCUGUAGUGGGGGAUAGCCCGGCGAAAGCCGGAUUAAUACCGCAUACGAUCUACGGAUGAAAGCGGGGGACCUUCGGGCCUCGCGCUAUCGGGUUGGCCGAUGGCUGAUUAGCUAGUUGGUGGGGUAAAGGCCUACCAAGGCGACGAUCAGUAGCUGGUCUGAGAGGACGACCAGCCACACUGGGACUGAGACACGGCCCAGACUCCUACGGGAGGCAGCAGUGGGGAAUUUUGGACAAUGGGCGAGAGCCUGAUCCAGCAAUGCCGCGUGUGUGAAGAAGGCCUUCGGGUUGUAAAGCACUUUUGUCCGGAAAGAAAUCCUUGGCCCUAAUACGGUCGGGGGAUGACGGUACCGGAAGAAUAAGCACCGGCUAACUACGUG